rnacentral:rRNA from 1 species
GAUGAACGCUGGCGGCGUGCCUAAUACAUGCAAGUCGAGCGAACAGACGAGGAGCUUGCUCCUCUGACGUUAGCGGCGGACGGGUGAGUAACACGUGGAUAACCUACCUAUAAGACUGGGAUAACUUCGGGAAACCGGAGCUAAUACCGGAUAACAUGUUGAACCGCAUGGUUCAACAGUGAAAGACGGUCUUGCUGUCACUUAUAGAUGGAUCCGCGCCGCAUUAGCUAGUUGGUAAGGUAACGGCUUACCAAGGCAACGAUGCGUAGCCGACCUGAGAGGGUGAUCGGCCACACUGGAACUGAGACACGGUCCAGACUCCUACGGGAGGCAGCAGUAGGGAAUCUUCCGCAAUGGGCGAAAGCCUGACGGAGCAACGCCGCGUGAGUGAAGAAGGUCUUCGGAUCGUAAAACUCUGUUAUUAGGGAAGAACAAAUGUGUAAGUAACUAUGCACGUCUUGACGGUACCUAAUCAGAAAGCCACGGCUAACUACGUA